rnacentral:rRNA from 1 species
AUGCCCCAAUUGCCAUGUGAGGAGAGCCACCACCACAUGAGUGACAUGAGUGACUCCACCAUACAUGACAUUGAGAGAAUUUCCUAUGAGAGGAUGAGUGUGACCACCACUAGCCCCACACAUGAGAGCAUGCCACACAUCCUAUGUGAGGUCGAGAGUCAUUUGAGUGACUCCACCAACCAUAUGAGUAAGAGCAUCUUACCGGGAGUGAGUGAGCCACAACACUUAGUGAGUGAGGUAGUUGAGACGGCAUGUGAGGCCACUAUGAUUUCUAAUUACUUAACCUCUACUCCGAGUGUGUUUUCCUUUUUGGUGCUAGUUCUCUAA